rnacentral:tRNA from 1 species
GCCGGGGUGGCGGAACUGGUAGACGCGCCAGACUCAAAAUCUGGUGGGAGCAAUCUCGUGUCGGUUCGAUUCCGACCCUCGGUACCA